UACAGAGGUGGCAAGCGUUGUUCGGAAUUACUGGGCGUAAAGGGCGCGUAGGCGGCUUGGUCAGUCCCGUGUGAAAUCCCUCGGCUCAACUGAGGAACUGCACGGGAAACUGCCUGGCUUGAGUUCGGGAGAGGGAAGCGGAAUUCCGGGUGUAGCGGUGAAAUGCGUAGAUAUCCGGAGGAACACCGGUGGCGAAGGCGGCUUCCUGGACCGACACUGACGCUGAGGCGCGAAAGCUAGGGUAGCAAACGGG
rnacentral:rRNA from 1 species